CGGGAGAUAAGAGGAGAAGUAAUAGCUGUCGUGUUGGGGCGCUUGCCUUGGUCCUGGGCCCCAUCAGCUGCUGUGAGGAGACAGUUUCUUUUCCAUAGUUGAGGAAAUGGAGCGCAGAGAGGUUGAGUGAGUCAACCAAGGUCACCCAGCUGGAGGUGGGGCAGGGUCUGGCUCCAGGCUGUGUGCUCUCACCCACCCUGCUUGCACGGGCUUUAGGAAUAGCCCCUGUGUCCUGGAAGACAGAUCGCUCACCGAAUGGGCCUCUUUUCUUGGUAUCAUAUGAUGAGGUAGGCUCACUUUCCCCCAGACUUAGCUUGCCAGAAUAUUCAUGGUUUUUUCUCUGUACUCACCUGUCAUCUCUCCAACUUGGUGCCAUCACCCAUGAAGUGGGAUGCUUUGGUGCGUGUCUGGCCUGGGGAGAGGGCUGCUUGCUUUGUCAGAAGACUCAAAGCAUGAUGGGCAUCCAAAUACCAAAGACCUAUGUUGACCUGUGUUUUUCACUCCGCUUGAUGGCAGUUGAGGGCUAUAUUCACUGCCUCAGUUGCAUGGAGUGAACAAGACCUAGUGAAGGUGGUGGGUGCGCUGAGACCAUCUGGUUGAUCUCUCCUGGGUGGGACCAGGUGCUCCCCUCACCACCCCCACCCUUGUCUGUGUACCACCACUCUGCACAGACACGUUGGCUGGUGCAGUCCUGGAGACCCACGGAGCUCACGGUCGUCAGGGGUCCUCAAGGAUUCAGAGAACCCCCAAAUGUCAGGGCUGCUCCCUUCUUGUCCUGCCUCUCUGCUCACACCCUUGGACAGGAGGAAGCACACGGGAGGCACUCAGAGAACGUUUGUGGAAUGAAUAAAUAAAAGCAUAUUUUGAGGGAAUAAAGAAGCAGAAAAACAAAGAAGAAUCUGGGGAAGAUGGGCAUAAAUCUCCACCAAGUGCUGCCAAGGCUUCCCAGGCGAGGCUGCUGAAAAGACCCUGUGGAGGGGAGCGGCAGGACCUGCCAAGGCCUGGGGGAGCCCGCCAGCCUGCUGAGUUCUACUGUACAAACAGUUGGGGAGGGGGCGCUGUCUCUGUUAACUUGAAAUUCCCCGAUCAGUAAACAUGCCAAUUUAAAGUGUAAUUAACUCAGGCCGGAAAAAAUUCAGAUUUGGACUGCUUUUCACAGUUGAGCGGCUGCUCUGCCUGGGAUAAACACAUUUCAAGAGUCUCAGUCCCCGCUUUGCCACCAUCUCCUCCUCUGAUCUCCUUUCCUGCUUCAAAAGACUCCAGAAUCUUCUCGGUUCUCAGAGAAGGCUGAAUCCACCUAUGACCUAGUGGGAGCACCCUGUGCCGAAACUGUUUACCUUCUGGUCCCCGGAGCCAUGGGUCACGACCUGGGCCUCAUGUAGGCCCGCUCCUCAGCAGACCCCAAUCUGCGGCUUCUCCCACCUCACUGGGGAAGAAGGAGAGCCCUGGGGAUGUGGAGAAGCCACCCCCCACCCCGCCACAUCCCCCACAUCUUACAGAAUCUCGAUUGAAUCCCCGGGGGCACAUCCCUCAGCAGGACAGCAACAGUCUUUGCCGCAGCCUGGGGAGGGCUGUGCUGGGGAUGAGCGCCGAGUGGCCGUGGACUAAGUGAAGGAAAUGACCAUGCUCUUCUCCCAGCUGGAUGGCGAGGCCGGGCAGGAACCGCGGAAUUCCUGCUCUUCGUUUUCAAACACUUUGCUGUCAAGCUAUUUGAAUAAUAAAUACACAUUAUAAAAAUGUAAAUAUGUUUGUGUGUCUGUAUGUUCGGAGAUGAUGUUUGUUAAGCGGGAGGUUUAACAACGGAGGCCAUCUGCCUUCAGCAGGGAUUCGCACAGAAUGUCACUGGCCUUCGCCCAACAAGCACUUUGCAGGGAGCAACCUCCUGAAGUCGGGGCUCACUCCUGGGUCCCCCUCCACUGCAUGCGAGCCCCCCGUUCCAAGGCAGGAGCCAGGGUCACGAAAAUGCAUGCUUCUUCAUCAAUCCGAGGUCUCAAACGGCUCCCCCAGCCCCACUGCCUGCCCGUUCCAGGCCUGGGGCUGGCAGCCUGGGCCCCACGAGGGGGCAGAGGCCAGAGCCCGGCGGCAGAGCCCGUGCCCACGCCUCGCUGCUGCCAGCCUCCGCUUGGUCACGACACAGCCAGGCUGACUCAGACACAGCCCCAAGCGGGAGCCUCAUAAAUGACAUCAUUACCUAUGAAACCUGCCGUGUAGUGCGCUAGCAGGGAAGGACACACUCUGGCCGCCCGGUGACUCACACUGUUUUCCCCAGAGCCUUCCUGCUCCACCGCCUGGGUCUGAGCUGGCUGGGCAGGGGGAGGGGGCACUCAGCUUGGCCUCACUCCCCCGCUCUGCUGCAAAUGCAAAAGCAAUCGGCCAGGCAGCCACCAUCCUGCUGAGGGCUGUGUGUGGGGGUGGCGGGGAGGAGGGGGGGCACCAUCUCUCCGGCCUCCCUCUGCAGCCCCAGUGGCGCUCCAGAGGGACUGUCAGUUGCCUAUGACAGGGGAGGAAACUGAGGCCUAAAGAGGCCCAAUGCCUGGCCUCACAGAUCCCACAGGGGAGGGUGGCUUCGGCUCAUGCUGGGAACCCCCAGGGAGACCCUUCGGCGAACCCAGCCGCUGGGCAAAGCUGCAAAACCUCUGGCUGUUCCUGCUGGGCCUGAGACUCCAGCUUCUCCUGAGCUCCUUUGGUGCAGCCAACUCCUCCUGC
rnacentral:lncRNA from 10 species